rnacentral:misc_RNA from 1 species
CUGCCCUCAAGCACGGCUUGUGUGUUGGGCCCCCGCCCCCCGGCUCCCGGGGGGCGGGCCCGAAAGGCAGCGGCGGCACCGCGUCCGGUCCUCGGGCGUAUGGGGCUUCGUCACCCGCUCUGUAGGCCCGGCCGGCGCCCGCCGGCGACCCCCCUCAAUCUUUCUCA